rnacentral:rRNA from 1 species
UACGUAGGGGGCAAGCGUUGUCCGGAAUCAUUGGGCGUAAAGCGCGUGUAGGCGGCUCGGUAAGUCCGCUCUGAAAGCCCGGGGCUCAACCCCGGGAGGCGGGUGGAUACUGCUGAGCUCGAGUCCGGAAGAGGAGUGUGGAAUUCCUGGUGUAGCGGUGAAAUGCGCAGAUAUCAGGAGGAACACCAAUGGCGAAGGCAGCACUCUGGGACGGUACUGACGCUGAGACGCGAAAGCGUGGGGGAGCAAACAGG